GAUGAACGCUGGCGGCGUGCCUAAUACAUGCAAGUCGAGCGAACAGACAAGGAGCUUGCUCCUCUGACGUUAGCGGCGGACGGGUGAGUAACACGUGGAUAACCUACCUAUAAGACUGGGAUAACUUCGGGAAACCGGAGCUAAUACCGGAUAAUAUAUUGAACCGCAUGGUUCAAUAGUGAAAGACGGUUUUGCUGUCACUUAUAGAUGGAUCCGCGCCGCAUUAGCUAGUUGGUAAGGUAACGGCUUACCAAGGCAACGAUGCGUAGCCGACCUGAGAGGGUGAUCGGCCACACUGGAACUGAGACACGGUCCAGACUCCUACGGGAGGCAGCAGUAGGGAAUCUUCCGCAAUGGGCGAAAGCCUGACGGAGCAACGCCGCGUGGGUGAUGAAGGUCUUCGGAUCGUAAAACUCUGUUAUUAGGGAAGAACAAAUGUGUAAGUAACUAUGCACGUCUUGACGGUACCUAAUCAGAAAGCCACGGCUAACUACGUG
rnacentral:rRNA from 1 species